rnacentral:RNase_P_RNA from 2 species
GUUCUGUAUCGGAUAGUUGCUUCAACCUCUGGUUGGGGAGGAAAGUCCGAACACAGCGAGCCCUAACCUUAGUUGGGGUGGGAAUGGUAAUGGGUAAUACCCAUAUAUGGCGACAUAUAGGUGCGAACAGAGACGAUUUUUCCCGAAAGGGAAAAAUCGUCCCGGGCGAAAGCCCGGGACGAGUCCUAGGGCAACUUAGGAGAUGAAACGGCUAAAUCCUUACCUCUGUGCAAGAUCGUGUCCCUCACCAAUUUUGACCUUUAGUUUGUAUACAUUAUUAAUCAUGGUAUUAGUGGUCAAAAUUGGUGAGGGAAGAAUCGCUUGAGUCCGAAAGCAAUUGAGGACCUAGAUAAAUAACUAUCACCCUAAACUUUUUGUGAAGGGCACAGAAUUCGGCUUAUAGGCACAGAACCAAA